UACGUAGGGACCAAGCGUUGUCCGGAAUCAUUGGGCGUAAAGAGCGUGUAGGCGGCUUGUUAAGUCUUGCGUGAAAUCUCGGGGCUCAACCCCGAGCGGUCGUGAGAAACUGGCAGGCUAGAGUGCGGGAGAGGAGAGUGGAAUUCCUGGUGUAGCGGUGAAAUGCGCAGAUAUCAGGAAGAACACCCGUGGCGAAGGCGACUACCUGGCCUGUUCUUGACGCUGAGGCGCGAAAGCUAGGGGAGCAAACGGG
rnacentral:rRNA from 1 species